ensembl:lncRNA
AGCUUACAAAGUUUUAACACCCGGACAUUGUUAAUAACACACAUGACACACUGAGAAUUAACUUUGACAUCAUUUAUUUCCUCAUUAUUUGAGCAUUUCUGAUCAAUUACAGAAUAUUAAACAUUAUGAUCUUUUCUGAUCUGCUUCUGGCAGCUGAGGAUCCCUGAAAAAUGUGUCAUGGUCUGUUUGUAUUCUACUCUUAGGUUUUGGUAUAAUUACUGAGAAUUAUGUGUAAUAAUUUAUCAAUACAAUAAAGAAACAGAAAGAAACUAAUGAGAACAUUUAAUAACAAUGACCGUCUAAUUUUACUGAUCACAGUGUUGCCUCUGUGAUGAAGAGGCACCUGUCAGACUAUUUGAUCUGUUUUCUAUUAGUGUGAAGUUUGUUCUUUGACACUCAGCAGGACAACAAGCAUAAAAACAAUGAAAUGACAGUAAAUAGAUUUUCAUGUAUCCAGCGCUAAAGCUGAAAUAGACUGAUUCUAUUUUCUACUAAAGCUUCACUAACUGAUAGCAGAAGGAACAUUAGUUGGACAUUUUGUAAUGAGGGAAAUAAAUAGGUUAUAAAGCAUGAGGUAGAUUAAAUAGUACUGCAGUAAUCUGAAAGCUCAACCGUCAGAUUUUACUUAUGAAACAUUUCAUUAGCUUAUAAUAUAAAUGUAGUUUAAGACCAGCUUUUGUUCAGUACAAGGAGGAGGUGAAAAAUAGUUUCAGGAAAAAAAAAAGACACACCAAAAACUGACAGACCAGCUUCCAGCCCAGGGUCUCCUCCUGUCUGACCUGCAGGUGAGAAACAGGUGUGAGGUGUCAGCUGUCAGGUAGGUGAUGAGUGAAGAACAGAACAGAAUCCAUUUCCUCUUCAAACUGCUGUCAGACAUUAUCUACUGCACUCUGAUCACAUCACUCAGACCAGCUGCUUUCUACAAAGUCUCAUCAACAACAUCUUUAGAAACAAACAUCAACAACCAGGAAGCAGCUUCACCUCUGAUCACACACACACUCAACUCUACUCACUCACCUGGAGGAUCAACUCUCAGGGUGAUGAUGCUGAUAGGGGGAGUCUUCAGAUUAGCUCUCUUCCUGCGGUUUGUUCCUCUCCUGAAGACACGACACUCGUAUGUUCCAGCGUCAUUAAUCGUCACAUUCUUCAGAAUCACAGACACGUUUCCAUCCUUCAUUUCUUUGUCCUGCAGAUCCACCCGGUUCUUAAAAGAUGGAUGCUGGUGAUCUGGAUCCAACUGCUUAUCCCGGUACAUUAGGACACUUUCUUUGCCCAGGUCAGCUCUGCUCCACUCUACAACUAUGAUGGGGAUGUUGUUGUCUCGAGCUCGACACGGCAGAGUGACGUUCUGUCCAGCUGUGAUGUUUUUCUGGUCUGAAAGAGAGAAAGUGACACAAAGCAGAGAGGUUAAAGGGAUCAAAGUACGAUUACUAACUUCUGGAGCUUUGAAAUCACAAUCAUAGAAACAAUUAGGUUCAAAACUAAAGUGACCACUUUGCGUUUUUCUUUGGGUGAAAAAAAAACAAACACUUGUUCACACUUUUACUAAAUAGUAGUUGGUAAGUAAACUAGAAGUAACUACAACACAAAUAUCACAAAAUAGAAGUGUUGUAAACAUAGCACAGUCAAACUCCUGCUUUAACAAAUAAAGGAUGGGCUCCUCUCUGCUUUGCUGUCAGCCUGGGAGAUAACUACAUCAGUCAGCUAUGUGCAAGGUCUGCUGGGUAAUGUAGUUCCAAUAAGAUAACAGGGCCUUUGCUACCCAACACGGUUCGAUGGCACAAACCUUCUGCAGCCAAAUAUGGAUAAGACUGAGGUAGUUGUCAUUGGCCACUGUAGCGCACUCACAAACACACCUGAGCUCCUGAUCUAUAAAACUGGACCAAUAAUGUAAAAUCCUCACAAUCAUUUCUGAUAACAACCUCGACUUAAGUAAGCAUGAACAAAUCUAGUAAUCUUCUCUAGAUUAGAUCACUGUAAUGGCUGAGUGCAUAGCAAAGUCAUAGGCCCCAAGUGAGGGGGAAGGUUUGAAGGUAUAGUGUCACGGCCAGGAGGAUCACCUGAAAGCUGAUCAGCGGUUUCUAUCUUUCUCUCUCACCUACUUUCUGUCACCGGGGCAGAACUCAUUCUGGGUUCACGCCCUUGGAGAAAAGAAACACCUGAGCCUCAUCAAGGUGAUCAGCAUAUAAGCCAGAAGGUGACUGCUGUUCUUUGCUGGAUCGUUGUCUACCACGCGUUAGUGAACGUCAAGCCACAGCAAGUUAAGUGGAGUGUUUCUUUGUGCUUUGUAUUUACCAACGUCUCCCUGUCUACAGACUUCCUGGAUUCUUCCCCGUGUCAUUCCUGAGUGGCGAGUGUUGGAGAGAGAGCCUGCUGUCGUGUGUGUGUGGGUUGUUUGGAUAGCGCAUGCCUUCCCCCUGGAUUUCCCUGGAGCCUCGUCCCCACCCUGUUGUACAUAACACUUCACCUGCACCUUCUGUAUAUACACCUGGUGGACUUGUAAAUAAAACUCUCUUGUGUGCAUCUGAUCCUGGAGUCCUGCGAUUGAGUCCUCCAUGUCAAAAGCGUAACA